GCGCCCAUAGCUCAGCUGGAUAGAGCAACAGAUUUCUAAUCUGUAGGCCGCAGGUUCAAGUCCUGCUGGGCGCG
rnacentral:tRNA from 2 species